rnacentral:rRNA from 1 species
CCUACGGGAGGCAGCAGUGGGGAAUAUUGGACAAUGGGCGCAAGCCUGAUCCAGCCAUGCCGCGUGAGUGAUGAAGGCCCUAGGGUUGUAAAGCACUUUCACCGGUGAAGAUAAUGACGGUAACCGGAGAAGAAGCCCCGGCUAACUUCGUGCCAGCAGCCGCGGUAAUA